AUUGAACGCUGGCGGCAUGCCUUACACAUGCAAGUCGAACGGUAACAGGUCUUCGGAUGCUGACGAGUGGCGAACGGGUGAGUAAUACAUCGGAACGUGCCCAGUCGUGGGGGAUAACUACGCGAAAGCGUAGCUAAUACCGCAUACGAUCUAUGGAUGAAAGCGGGGGAUCGCAAGACCUCGCGCGAUUGGAGCGGCCGAUGGCAGAUUAGGUAGUUGGUGGGGUGAAGGCUCACCAAGCCGACGAUCUGUAGCUGGUCUGAGAGGACGACCAGCCACACUGGGACUGAGACACGGCCCAGACUCCUACGGGAGGCAGCAGUGGGGAAUUUUGGACAAUGGGCGCAAGCCUGAUCCAGCCAUGCUGCGUGCAGGAUGAAGGCCUUCGGGUUGUAAACUGCUUUUGUACGGAACGAAAAGUCUCUUUCUAAUAAAGAGGGAUCAUGACGGUACCGUAAGAAUAAGCACCGGCUAACUACGUGCCAGCCGCCGCAGUAAAAC
rnacentral:rRNA from 1 species